rnacentral:rRNA from 1 species
AACGAACGCUGGCGGCAGGCCUAACACAUGCAAGUCGAGCGCGCCUUCGGGUGAGCGGCGGACGGGUUAGUAACGCGUGGGAACGUGCCCUUCUCUACGGAAUAGCCUCUGGAAACGGAGAGUAAUACCGUAUACGCCCUUUGGGGGAAAGAUUUAUCGGAGAAGGAUCGGCCCGCGUUAGAUUAGGUAGUUGGUGGGGUAACGGCCUACCAAGCCUACGAUCUAUAGCUGGUUUUAGAGGAUGAUCAGCAACACUGGGACUGAGACACGGCCCAGACUCCUACGGGAGGCAGCAGUGGGGAAUCUUAGACAAUGGGGGCAACCCUGAUCUAGCCAUGCCGCGUGAGUGAUGAAGGCCUUAGGGUCGUAAAGCUCUUUCGCCUGUGAUGAUAAUGACAGUAGCAGGUAAAGAAACCCCGGCUAACUCCGUGCCAGCAGCCGCGGUAAUACGGAGGGGGUUAGCGUUGUUCGGAAUUACUGGGCGUAAAGCGCGCGUAGGCGGAUUAGAAAGUUGGGGGUGAAAUCCCGGGGCUCAACCCCGGAACUGCCUCCAAAACUGCUAGUCUAGAGUUCGAGAGAGGUGAGUGGAAUUCCGAGUGUAGAGGUGAAAUUCGUAGAUAUUCGGAGGAACACCAGUGGCGAAGGCGGCUCACUGGCUCGAUACUGACGCUGAGGUGCGAAAGUGUGGGGAGCAAACAGGAUUAGAUACCCUGGUAGUCCACACCGUAAACGAUGAAUGCCAGUCGUCGGAUAGUAUACUAUUCGGUGACACACCUAACGGAUUAAGCAUUCCGCCUGGGGAGUACGGUCGCAAGAUUA